rnacentral:rRNA from 1 species
CACGUAGUUAGCCGUGACUUAUUCCUGGGGUACCGUCCGUUCUCUUCCCCCAGAAAAGGAGUUUACGACCGAAGCCUUCAUCCUCCACGCGGCGUUGCUGCAUCAGGGUUGCCCCCAUUGUGCAAUAUUCCUC